AUGGAAGAAAAUCAGGGACUCGAGAAGGCAAUUGAAAAAUUGGCUGAGCUCCUAACAGCCAAGGUAGGAGCUGCAGCAUCUCCAAAUAAUGCAAUUGUUCCUCACAUUGAGCCAAUUCAGAAAAUUGACUUCAUGCCAAAUGAAAUUAAGCUGGAAGGUGUUAAGAAUUAUUUGAGCUGGUCAAGAAGGGCGCUACUCAUCUUGAGGACUAAAGGGCUUGAGGGCUUUGUCAGUGGUGAGUCAGAGGAGCCAGGAGACAAGAAAACUGCAGAAUGGAGGACAUGGAGCAGUACCAACUCUUUGAUAGUGGCAUGGUUGUUGAACUCCUUGCCUCCAACCAUUGCUGCAACUGUUGAGACUAUCUCAACUGCUACUGAGGUAUGGAAAACCCUCUCAAAACUGUACUCAGGUGAAGGGAAUGUGAUGUUAAUAGCCAAAACAGAGGAGAGAGUUGGUGAACUCAGACAAGGGGAAAAUUCUGUGAUGGAGUAUGUUGCUGAACUGCAGCGUUUGUGGGCUGAUUUAGAUCACCAUGAUCCUCUGGAUUUGCCACAUGCAGAUUGCAUAUCAGCUGCUAGAAAAUGGAUUGAACGCAGAUGA
rnacentral:rRNA from 1 species